GUCGUUGUAGUAUAGUGGUGAGUAUCCCCUGUCACGCGGGAGACCCGGGUUCGAUCCCCGGCAACGGCG
rfam:Ipomoea nil DNA, scaffold: scaffold1435, cultivar: Tokyo-kokei standard.